UGGAAGAUAUUACUUGAGGGAGGAAUACAUGUGGAAUGAACAAUGUUUAUUUGAGACAAUUAUGGUCUGGAAAAUACACAAACCUUGCAAAUCAUAGCAACAGAGCAGACAGCAUAGCAACAACAGAUGCUGCAGUGAAAAGAAAAAUCAGAUGUAGGUUUUAAGGAGGAAAAUAUAAGGCAUGGAGAGACUGCCUGCAAGGGAGCUGUGUAAGAAUCAGUGCCAGUAACAUGAUUUACACUACACUGAAGGGCAGUAUAUUGUCUUUGAAUGAAUGAAUAACAUCCCAACCAGACAACGGAUAGCAUACGGGCACUGUAUCUCUUCCCACAGGCCACAGAUUCGAUAUCCAAUUAAUAAAAAGAUUUCCAUCUA